CUAUACAUGACUCUGCGCAUAUCAAUAAGCGGAGGAAAAGAAACUAACUAGGAUUCCCUUAGUAACGGCGAGUGAAGCGGGAAGAGCUCAAAUUUGAAAUCUUCAAGGUUCUACCUUGACGAAUUGUAGUUUAUAAGAAGUGUUUUCUGUUAGUAGAGUUGGCUAAAAGUUCUUUGGAAUAGGACAUCAUAGAGGGUGAGAAUCCCGUAUUUGAUCAUUCUUUCUAGCUGUGUGAUACACUUUCAACGAGUCGGAUUGUUUGGGAAUGCAGUCCAAAAUGGGUGGUAAAUUUCAUCUAAAGCUAAAUAUUGGCGAGAGACCGAUAGCGAACAAGUACCGUGAGGGAAAGAUGAAAAGAACUUUGAAAAGAGAGUUAAACAGUACGUGAAAUUGUCAAAAGGGAAGCGUUUGACACCAGUGUUGUUUUCUCGAAAAUCAAUUAAAAAUGGCGGAUUUUGUGUUGCAUUGACUUUAUCAGCUUUCUGCACUUUUUUCCUGUCUUUUUUAAUGCACUUUUCGUUUAACAAGUCAACAUCAAUUUCUUUUGUUGUAAAAGGGUCAGUAGGAAGGUGGCUUCAGCUUUCGGUAGAAGUGUUUAUAGCCUUUUACCUCCUGCAGGUCGGAGAGACUGAGGUCUGCAGCGUAGAUCCUUCGGGGUUAGAUACAUUUGUGCUAAGUUAUAGCUUGUCAUAGACAACUUGUUGACUAUGUUUAGUCAUUGUAGCUUACUCGCUGACGCUAUUUUACCUACGCUUAGGAUGUUGAUAGUCACAGCGUGUAC
rnacentral:rRNA from 1 species